UGCAGCAGGAAGGCGCCGCGGUGGAUAUCCUGGAGUCCGGUGAACCCUGGUAGGAGAUAUUAUUCCUACGUAGAUUCUCAGGUGUCAUGAACUGAACAGCAUGGCUUCAUCGACUGGCAUGACACCCCCACGACUCCAUUUCUUCGUCAAUUGCUAGGAGACCUACGGGAUAAAGUGUGGAGGCUGGAUGAUGAGCUUGCUGACUAG
rnacentral:rRNA from 1 species